UGCUACCUUCCUUCCGGUCUUGAUCAGAUAUAAAUUCGGUAUCAGAAGAUCUAAUUCCAUAUUUUCUUUAGUAACCUCUCAUGCAGUCACUGAUCGCUGGAUUAAUUUUCUAAAGAGCACAAACCAGCACACAAAGCUGGUUUAGGAUGGCGCUCUGCCAUUUUUUGAGUUGAGGUUCUUAACAUCAGCUAUGAUCUGACACAAGAAUCAUGGUUACU
rnacentral:lncRNA from 1 species